UCCUUACUUCCAAGGUCGGAUUUAAAUUUCCCUUGCUAACUCCUUGCCUGAUUUCUUUUUAUAGCUUUUAAACAAUUGACCGGCCUCAAAAAGAGGCUGCUGUUUUAAAAAUGCACAUUUUGGUUCUUCCUCUCUGUUGGUGGGAUGAACUGUGAAAAAUAUCAUUCUCCUUGUCACAAGGACUUUUUUCAGUAGAAGAGUUCAAGAGUUUUCAGGACUUGGCUAUUUUUAGUUCUUGGCUCCCCCUCCCCUUGCCACCCCAUGAAUCCAGCACCUGCUCUGAAGUCACGGUUAUUUUAAACUCCACAGAAAAACAAGAAAGGAAAAAGAGAACAAACAAAGACAGAAAAAAGAAAGAUGAUAGCAAUUACUCAAGAGACUGACUUGAUUCUUGAUAAGCAUCUGCAAAACAAGCAAACAGUGAUUCCCACUAUAUGACUAUUUCUCAGCAGAAUCCUGUAUGUAUUUACUUGGAAACAAGUCAAAUUGUGCUUGGUAAGACAUAUUGCUCAAGUACAUUGGCUGUGGAUUGCACCGUUGGUCAUGGAGGACUAAUUAAAAUGGGGAGCUCCAGCAAGAUUGACAAUCUGAAGUCUUUCAUCAUACACUAUCAUUUGUAUCAGGUUUAAAGGAAGAAACAAAUGGCACUAAGACAGAAAACAACAGCAGUAUUUCAAUAUGAGUGGCGAGAAAAGUCUUGGUCACACUUACCUGGGGUGAAAAAGAAGUGGAAGAGAAGAAAAAGCUAAGGGGUGGCCUCAAAGAAAGAGAGAGCAGGAGGAUCAACAGCAGUGGGACACUUUCUUUAUGUUCCUGCCAAGGGAAAGGGAGGGAGAAGAGGAGGGGAGGACACAGCAAGCAAGAGCACAUGCUUGAAUGGGAGCUUCCAGGACCCAAAGCAAAAUAGACCAGGGCUCUGACCUUCCACAGCUGUGCAAAAUGAAGACAGGCAUUUCGGCAGGCGCAGCUCAUGGGGCAGCCAAGGAAAAGCUGCACCUACUCCCUUUGUUCAGCUGUUAAAGCAAUACAGACGUCUCCUGGUUGUGUUUGGUUAAUGGUCCAGAUAGUAUUCUAAAAUGCAAAGCUGUUUGUAUGUUAGGAAACAGGCUGGCUGUUUUGCCAUAAGAUUUCCCAGUUGGAGGAAACCCCACUGCCUGGUUUCGUGGUGGUGAGCCUCUCUUGGAUGCCAGGCUUUCAAGGAAUAGGUAGCAUGAGGUCCAGAAGCCAUUUAUUCUUGUUUGCCACUUCUGCUACUGCUUCAACCAAGGCUGAAUAGUGUGCACAAUGCUACUUCUGCAGUUACAAUAUCUAGAAAUUUAAAAUGCUUUGGGCUGACUCACUUACUUGAACCCUCUACAGUUCUUUUACUACUUUUCUUAAACUAUCAAAAAUUCCAUUACAUGUUUAGUCAGCAUGGAUACUUAAACUAUAGUCAACCAAACAUAGUGACGGAUACCCCAAUUUCUGUAUAUUCUUUUUGCAUACAAAAAGAAAAAUUGAUUGACAAAUUAAUAGCAUGUGCACGAAUAGUUUUAGUGAGGGAUUGGAAAGAUAAAACAAAAUGGACUCUGACAAAUUGGUAUAAGUAUAUAGUUGCCUUGUUUUCCCCCAAAAUAAGACAGGGUCUUAUAUUAAUUUUUGCUCCAAAAGAUGUGUUAGGGCUUGUUUUCAGGGGCAGUCUUAUUUUUCCAAAUUGACUUUUAAAAUGUACUAUAUCUAAAGCUUAUUUUUGAAACAGGGCUCAUAUUUCAAGCAUCCUCAGAAAUGCUGAAAACUCAUGAUAGGUCUUAUUUUCAGGGUAGGUCUUAUUUUGGGGGAGACAGGGUAAUACAUUAAAUGUGGAAAUAACAAAUUGCAAAUGGAACAAUAUAGAUAAAAUUGAAAAGGUUACAAUAAUUAAGAGGAUGUGGGAACCAGCUAGAAAUUAUUUUAUCUAGAAAAUGUGCUAAGGUGUGGAGUGGAAAAAUUAAGAUUGAGAUUUCAAAUGUAACUUCUGUAGUUUGCUGUAUAAAUUACAUGUACAAGGAGGGGAGGGUGGGAGUGGGAUAAAACAAUAAAACAAAACAACCCCCCCCCCAAAAUGGAUAUCCCAGUUUGAUAGUUCUGAAAGGAGAUUGGAUACUUUCAUGGAGGAUGGGACUAUUCAUGGCUAUUAGCUAUGAUAGAUAUUUACUUUCUCUAAAUGGAUGUCUGUGUAUAUCAGUUGCUAGGACAUGAGUGGAAUAAUGCUCACCCAUUCAUGUCCUGUUGGUGGGCUUCCUAUAGGCAAACAAUUGGCUGCCAUGAAAACAGAAAAUUGUACUAGACAGGUCUUUUGACUGCUCCACUAUAAUAUUUGCAAUGUUCUUCUCAGCUUGGGGUAAAUCAAUAAAUGGAUGAUGGGA